ACCUGACUGCUAUCGGAUUGAUACUAAGCCAUGCGAGUCAUUGUAGCAAUACAAGGCAUACGGCUCAGUAACGCGUAGUCAACCUAACCUAUGGACGGGAAUAACCUCGGGAAACUGAGAAUAAUGCCCGAUAGAACAUUAUGCCUGGAAUGGUUUAUGUUCCAAAUGAUUUAUCGCCGUAGGAUGGGACUGCGGCCUAUCAGUUUGUUGGUGAGGUAAUGGCCCACCAAGACUAUUACAGGUACGGGCUCUGAGAGGAGUAGCCCGGAGAUGGGUACUGAGACACGGACCCAGGCCCUAUGGGGCGCAGCAGGCGAGAAAACUUUGCAAUGUGCGAAAGCACGACAAGGUUAAUCCGAGUGGUUUCUGCUAAAGAAACCUUUUGUCAGUCCUAGAAACACUGAUGAAUAAGGGGUGGGCAAGUUCUGGUGUCAGCCGCCGCGGUAAAACCAGCACCUCAAGUGGUCAGGAUGAUUAUUGGGCCUAAAGCAUCCGUAGCCGGCUCUGUAAGUUUUCGGUUAAAUCUGUACGCUCAACGUACAGGCUGCCGGGAAUACUGCAGAGCUAGGGAGUGGGAGAGGUAGACGGUACUCGGUAGGAAGGGGUAAAAUCCUUUGAUCUAUUGAUGACCACCUGUGGCGAAGGCGGUCUACCAGAACACGUCCGACGGUGAGGGAUGAAAGCUGGGGGAGCAAACCGGAUUAGAUACCCGGGUAGUCCCAGCUGUAAACUAUGCAAACUCAGUGAUGCAUUGGCUUGUGGCCAAUGCAGUGCUGCAGGGAAGCCGUUAAGUUUGCCGCCUGGGAAGUACGUACGCAAGUAUGAAACUUAAAGGAAUUGGCGGGGGAGCACCACAAGGGGUGAAGCCUGCGGUUCAAUUGGAGUCAACGCCGGAAAU
rnacentral:rRNA from 1 species